GUGCCAGCAGCCGCGGUAAUACGUAGGGUGCGAGCGUUAAUCGGAAUUACUGGGCGUAAAGCGUGCGCAGGCGGCUUUGCAAGACAGAGGUGAAAUCCCCGGGCUCAACCUGGGAACUGCCUUUGUGACUGCAAGGCUAGAGUACGGCAGAGGGGGAUGGAAUUCCGCGUGUAGCAGUGAAAUGCGUAGAUAUGCGGAGGAACACCGAUGGCGAAGGCAAUCCCCUGGGCCUGUACUGACGCUCAUGCACGAAAGCGUGGGGAGCAAACAG
rnacentral:rRNA from 1 species